AUGGGGGCCAUGUGGCUGGAGCCAUGUUGAACCAUGCCUCCAGGCCCCUCAGGAGCAGACACAUGGCCGGUACCCUGAGGGGUAGGAGGGUCAGAACCCGGCUGCAACAGAAGGACAGUAGUGAGAGAGGGGUAGAUGGAAGAACUGCUGACCCUUUGUGAAAAAUCCUCAUCCCCUGGAUACUGGGGAGGUUUUUGGGGUUCCAAAGUUUCCUCCAGCCCCAGUUUGGACAGAAGACUUAUGGGGGAGGAGUAUAGUGCCAGUCUGGAUUGCCACAGGAGGACUGUUUUUGUCAUUUCUUUCUCCAACUGGAGAAAGUGGGAAAAGGCCUGGAGACCUACCUUGUCCUGAGACCCAAGAAGACACAGUGCUUUUCUAUCCAUUUCAAGAGCUCUACAUCAUUACCUAGAUACUGUUUUAGAAAUCUCACCUCUUAUGGGAUUAGUGGCAGUGUUCUUCUCCAAGAACUAAUAGAGAAAAAAAUGUAACAGAAAAUAAAUUAUGUUUAGAUUUCUGUUGCAGAAAUUAACCUUGAGGUCUGACAUGUAUGCUGAA